rnacentral:lncRNA from 1 species
ACAGAGAUAUUUCUCUUCGUUGCUUUUGUACGAAGAGACAAACUGAGAAUAUUUUAAUUAAUUCGUUAAAUAAACGAUAGUGGUGUCUUAUUAUACUAAUAUAAUAUCAAAAUACGACAAACGAGAGGCGUGUAAAGUGGAAAGAAGACAUAUUAUAAUAGAUUUAUGCGAUCCCUCUGACGCAAAACCAAUGGCAUUGUACUUGUAUUAAAGAAAAGCUUGCUCCCAAUUUGGGUUCUCAAGCCAAAGACAUGGCCGUUCGUUUCAAGGUGUAUGGCUUGUGAAUUUUAAGAGACAUUUAAUGUGCAAGGUAUAUUAGGGCUCUUAGAUUAUACCGAUAUAAUAAAUAUAAUCUCCCUUUGAGCCACAAGGUGUACAAUGUCAAAAUAUGAGGAAGGCUGUCUGUGACAUCAAUGUUCAACUGAUGAGAGAUCGAGGGAGCGCGGAAGCCCGAGGGGAGCGAGCUGAGGGUGCCCGGCGGAAACCAACUCACUUUUAGCAGAGGAUACAAAACAUGCUGAAGAUGAAGAUAAUGAAGAUAUUCCAUACCAACAUUGGAUUGAUGAUGAAUUAUCCAAUAUCAAUGAUGAUGACUAUGAAGAUUAAAAAAAAUUAUUGAAAUGUACUAUCAAUAAAUGUAAAAAAAAAAUACAUUAGGUAUUUUUUUUUACAAAUAACAAAAUUUAAAUAAACUACUAUUUCCUCAAAUUGAUUACUGUUAAAAUAAUAGAUGUCCCAAGUACAUCUAAUGAAAAACAUUUUUCUAACUCAACAAAGAUUUGUUCAUAAUAUUAAUUAUUUGAAAUGUAUAUAUUUUUAAUUAUGCGUUUAUUAUUGAUAUCAUUCAACGUGAACAUUUUACUUAAUUAUUACUGAAGAUCCAUUAGAUAAUUAAUAACAAAUUUUACAAAACUAUGCUAUAAAACCGUCUAACAAUCACGAUUGCGUUCAUACACACAGAAAGCCUUUAUAUGUGCUGGGGGAAUGUUAGGCCUCUCUGAGUGGUCUGGCUGCUUGCAAAAAUAUUUGAAUUAGUUUCCUGAGUAUCAUAUACAAAAACAGCACUGAGACUUUAAGUAAUGUAAGUAUAAUUUUUAUCUACCUUUCGCACCUAGUACCUGUAAAUUGGCCGGCUCAAGCUAGCAGGUAUGCAUACUCUUAUUGUAUAUACUAACACUACGUUAUUUUAUAUAUUUUAUUUCUGAGAAAAUAAGUAAAGUCUGGGGGCUCUGGGACCUUGGACUAUAAGAAUACAUUCGCAGACCGUAUUCUGUCAAUCGCUGAAAGAUAUUUCAAACAAAUGUUGAACUGUUGACAGUUAUGUAAAAUUAACAUUGUGGUUAAGUUUUAUUAUAUUUUAUAAUCUUCCGCUCCAGUUCCUUAAUUUUUUCUUUCAUAAGAACCUUCUCCUGAUAAUAAUAAAUACAACAAAAAAGAAUUAGCGAAAUUGUUCCAUCCGUUCACGGGUAAUGCGAUGACAAAAGGAAUAGAGAUUUAUUUUUAUAUAUUACUAGAUGACCCGGUGAACUUCGUAUCACCUACGUAAUUAUAAUUAGUUCAUUAUUAUUAUUAUAAUUAUUCACUGUGGAACGCAGUUCUGCCAUACCAAUACGAAUGUUACCAUUGUCUGUCUCUCGCUGGUCGAUAGUGCGUUUCGCACGCGUGGUAGCUCGUCGCACAUUUGAUUGACUUCGACGACCUUAAAGUCAGGUCGUCUUCUCCAAGGCAUUGGAAAAUGACAAAUUAGUUUUCCCUGAGACUCGCCGAGCUUCACUGCUCGGUGUCAUAAAAUGCGUGCCACUGCUGAUCCUGGCUUACAGGAGUUGUAGUGGUGCGUGUGAGGGUGGGAAAG